GAUGAACGCUGGCGGCGUGCCUAAUACAUGCCAGUCGAGCGAACAGACGAGGAGCUUGCUCCUCUGACGUUAGCGGCGGACGGGUGAGUAACACGUGGAUAACCUACCUAUAAGACUGGGAUAACUUCGGGAAACCGGAGCUAAUACCGGAUAAUAUAUUGAACCGCAUGGUUCAAUAGUGAAAGACGGUUUUGCUGUCACUUAUAGAUGGAUCCGCACCGCAUUAGCUAGUUGGUAAGGUAACGGCUUACCAAGGCGACGAUGCGUAGCCGACCUGAGAGGGUGAUCGGCCACACUGGAACUGAGACACGGUCCAGACUCCUACGGGAGGCAGCAGUAGGGAAUCUUCCGCAAUGGGCGAAAGCCUGACGGAGCAACGCCGCGUGAGUGAUGAAGGUCUUCGGAUCGUAAAACUCUGUUAUUAGGGAAGAACAAAUGUGUAAGUAACUAUGCACGUCUUGACGGUACCUAAUCAGAAAGCCACGGCUAACUACGUG
rnacentral:rRNA from 1 species